rnacentral:lncRNA from 1 species
GAGGAGACACCUGGACAAGCUGGGAAGAGCACCGAGAGGGAGAAGUGGGGGUUAAAUGGGUUCUGUACAAAAAGCAGCCUGAGGAACUGGAUGAUUCUUUUUUUUCAGGGCAGGGAGGUUUGCAACAGAAAGGGCAGCUGCAUGUGAGUAAGCCUGGGCUGUUUCCUUUCAGGGAGGGUAGAGCUGAUUAAGCAAGUACCUGAGGUUGGAAAACCUGCGUGUCAUGUUAUGGUUUGCUGAGGGAGCAAAGGCUGAUUUUUUUUUUUUUAUUAUUAUUAAAUGAAACUAAAAGUCUUCUCUCAGGAUAGCCUGUAUCUUUUUUUUUUUUUUUCCCUGAUUGUAGUUCUCAGGGUGCCUUUGUUAAAGACCAGAUUCAUCUUGGUGCAUGGAAAGCGUGACUUUGUAUCCAUCUGCAGGCUCACGGGUGUGUUGUUUUCUCUCUUUAUAUUUUCAAGGAGACAAUCCUGGGAAGUGGAGCUGUACUCAGCGGCAUCUUACUCUCCCAUACAUUGGUGUCCCUUCUCCUGAACUGCAAGGAAUCCAGCUGAAGUAAAGAGGGCUUUCUAACCCAGCCCCAUCACCGCAGCCGUGCCGAGAGCCACGUGAAGAUGUGACCUCAGGGAUCCCAAGCGGACGGAUGGGCUCAAGCCCCACGUGCAGAGGCUGCCUGGAAAGGUGGGAGCUGGCGAUCCUCCCGCUCCGUGCCAUUCCCCGAGGCCCGAUCGAGGAACCAGUCAGUGCAGGAUCCUCCAGGCUGCUGCAAGUUGCUGCUUUCAGUGUGGAGAGAGCUCUGCAGAUGGCUUUGUGUCAUGCUUCCUGCUCUUGCACAGCUCUGGAGCACACAGUCCUCCAUCCUCGACCUGUCAGUGCUGAAGGUGUUCUCCUCCAAACACCUGGAAGAAGGGAGGUGGCCCCACUUCUGCCUUCACCAAAAGGAGCUCUCAAAUGCCUGAAUUCACUUUGCUGAUCGUUGAACUUCAGCAUUAGUUCUGCACAGCAUCCGAGUGCUGGGAAGCUGUAGGUUUGAUGCUGAUUUGAAGGAAUUACGGUACAACCGAAGCUACAUCUAAAAUGGAUCAGGCACAGUGGUGGGGAUGGAGUGGGGGCGAGUAAGGAACCACUAACUGAAGUGUGUGGUUCAUUCAUGUGCCCUGUGGGGCCUUUUUUAGGGUGUGUGUUUAUUAUUUUUUUUACUUUGCAAAGUGCAACAGUUCAUUGUGCAUGUGAGGGAGGUAUUUACCUGGAUACUGAUACUCCCCAAGAAAAACCACUGAGGAGGGAAGAUUUUAGAAAUGGCUUCAACAGCAAGCUGUUGGCCAAGAUCAGGGUCUCCAUGCCCCCAGCUCAAUGCCCUGGGCAUCCUCUCUUCUUUUUUUGGGAGGGAGAACCUCUUUCCUGCUGUCGUCUUUUGAUCCCUGGUAUAGGCAAGCCUUUUCUGGCGGUGUUGUCUGAAACCUUGGGCUAGUGCUUUAUCUCCAAGUGUGAUUAAAACAGGCUGCCUGUUUUUUUCUUGCAGCCUCAUCGUGGGUCACUCUGUGCAGGAGCAGGUGUCUGGCAGCCCAUUUGUAAUGGGCUCUGGCCCUGUCUCCAUGCAAAACCAAGCUCCAAAUUCCCUGCUAAAUUACUGUAGCCAUAUAGUGAACGUCAUAAUAGCAACAUACAGUUCCCAAGACCAUGCAAUUUCACUUUUCUGCUCCAAAUAUUGGUUGUGUUUAGCUAACAAAGUAUGAGAAGUCGAUUUCUGAAGUUGCUCAAAGACAUCUAAUGACUGGUGUGAGCGUGCUUUCUAUUAUAUUAAAAUUUCACUCACUCAGGUGCUCAGCAGUGCUUUAGUUACCCUCCUGUUGGUCAGGGCUCACAGCAAAGGGAAGGACUCUAUUAAAAAUGUAAUUUUUACAGGGGAGUUUGGCAGCCACAUCAGCUUCAGAGGAGGAGCAGUGCAGUGGAGCUCUCUGCUCUGAGGAGAG